GAUGAAGAACGUAGCGAAAUGCGAUAAGUAAUGUGAAUUGCAGAAUUCAGUGAAUCAUCGAAUCUUUGAACGCACAUUGCGCCCAUUAGUACUCUAGUGGGCAUGCCUGUUCGAGCGUCAUUAAGUCCACUUAAGCCCUGCUUAGUGUUGGGAGACUGCUCCAGCGGUGCUACCCUGUAGCUACCCUGCAGCUCCUCAAAGACAGCGGCGGAGUUGUGGUAUCCUCUGAGCUUAGUAACUUGUUCUAGCUUUCGAGUACACCACUUCCCCUGCCGUAAAACCCUUAAUUUUUAAUGGUUGACCUCGGAUCAGGUAGGAAUACCCGCUGAACUUAAGCAUAUCAAUAAGCGGAGGA
rnacentral:misc_RNA from 1 species